AAAAAGUAAGGCUUAACUGAAGCAUUUGGAAAGUUUGUAAACUCACACUAUGCUAGAUCUGCUGUCAGCGUCGUAUCCUCAGUGGCACCCUGUGAGCUCUGGCUGUGUCUCAGUGGUCUACCUGGUACUGGCUAUGGCAAGCCCUUUGUUUCUCUGAGAGGAGCAUCACAGAGAAAACAACAAGAGAGAAGUCAUUACAGAAAACCCCAAGCAAUCAAAAUGCAGAGUUAUGGAGCCUAGUUCUACUGGCUAUAUCCACAAAACAGCUCUUAAAACAACACCGAAGGCUCAGGGGACACUGUGGGAGAAGGAGCAGGAAGAUUGGCAGAGCUAGAGGAUCGGAGAGCUCGCUGUGAGAUUGCCUCCUAGUAAUGUGUGAAGCUACACGCAUAAUGUCUCACCACCGUGACUGCCUAAACAUGAGCUGAACAAAGACAACAACAGACCUACCAGAGUGGUUAGGAGAACCCACUCGUACAUAAAGAACGACAGGCCCCAACCCUUCAACAAAGAAUGACAGGUAUUAGAACCUACUUUUCCAAUUCCAACGUAGAAUGAAGACCAUCAGCUCUUUAGGAAUCCUCCAGACCUCAAGCAUCAGGUUGGGACUGCUGAGACAUUCAGUCUUGUAGACUGAACAACUGCUGGAUUCUUGACCUUUCUACUGGGGGACAGCCAUUGUUGGACGACCUGCACCACAUUCUGUAAGCCAGUCUAAAAAACACACAAGAUGGCAAGUGAUAUCGUUCCCUUUAUGUAAAAGACAAAAAUUCACAAGACUUGGCAUUUUUGAAAGUUGGUAAUGUAGAGGAAUGUGGAUGGAGACUGGAAG
ensembl:lncRNA